AGGAAAGUAAAAAAGGGCGCAUGGCGGAUGCCUUGGCUCUCGGAGGCGAUGAAGGACGUGAUAAGCUGCGAUAAGCUUUGGGGAGGUGCAAAUGACCUUUGAUCCAGAGAUUUCCGAAUGGGACAACCCAAUAUCUUGAAGAGGUAUUAUCCAACGUUGUUGGAGGCUAACGCAGGGAACUGAAACAUCUUAGUACCUGCAGGAAAAGAAAAUAAACAAUGAUUCCCCCAGUAGUGGCGAGCGAACGGGGAACAGCCCAAACCAUCCAUGUUACGGCAUGGGUGGGGUUGUAGGACUACGCCGUUGCAUGAAGACAUCAGAGAAGAACUUUCUGGAAAGAAAGACCAUAGAGCAUGACAGUUGCGUAUUCGAAUGUUGUCGAAGCAUAGUAGUAUCCUGAGUAGCGCGGAGCACGAGGAAUUCUGCGUGAAUCUGCCGGGACCAUCCGGUAAGGCUAAAUACUCCCGAGAGACCGAUAGCGAACCAGUACCGUGAGGGAAAGGUGAAAAGCACUUCGAACAGAAGAGUGAAAUAGUUCCUGAAACCGUGCGCCUACAAGCGGUCGGAGCUCGUUAAUGAGUGACGGCGUGCCUUUUGCAUAAUGAACCUACGAGUUGCCUUUGCCGGCAAGGUUAAGUGUGACGACACACGUAUCCGAAGCGAAAGCGAGUCUGAACAGGGCGUAUAGUCGGCAGUGGCAGACGCGAAACCAAGUGAUCUACCCUUGGCCAGGUUGAAGGCUGGGUAACACCAGCUGGAGGACCGCACCAAUAAGCGUUGAAAAGCUUCUGGAUGAGCUGAGGGUAGGGGUGAAAGGCUAAUCAAACUUGGAGAUAGCUCGUACUCCCCGAAAUGCAUUUAGGUGCAGCCUUGCGGGUUACUGAUGUGAGGUAGAGCGACUGAUAAGAUGCGAGGGCUUCACCGCCUAUCAAGUCUUGACAAACUCCGAAUGCGCAUCAGUUCUACCGCAGGAGUGAGGGCAUGGGUGCUAAGGUCCGUGCCCGAGAGGAGAAGAAUCCGGACCACCUGCUAAGGUCCCGAAAUGACAGCUAAGUUAAACUAACGAAGUCUGACUGCUAAGACAGCUAGGAUGUUGGCUUGGAAGCAGCCAUUCAUUUAAAGAGUGCGUAACAGCUCACUAGUCGAGGAGUCGGGCGUGGAUAAUAAUCGGGUAUGAAGUUGUCUACCGAAGCAGUGGGAUCAUUUAUAUGAUCGGUAGGGGAGCAUUCCAGUCAGCGUCGAAGGCGUACCGUGAGGUAUUCUGGAGCGUCUGGAAAAGCAAAUGUAGGUAUAAGUAACGAUAAAGGGGGCGGGAAACCCCCUCGCCGAAAGACUAAGGUUUCCUGAUCAACGCUAAUCGGAUCAGGGUCAGUCGGGUCCUAAGGCUCAGCCG
rnacentral:rRNA from 1 species